CAGUAGCCGCGGGAAUACGAAGGGGGCUAGCGUUGCUCGGAAUGACUGGGCGUAAAGGGCGCGUAGGCGGUUUUGACAGUCAGAUGUGAAAUUCCUGGGCUUAACCUGGGGGCUGCAUUUGAGACGUCAAGACUAGAGUGUGAGAGAGGGUUGUGGAAUUCCCAGUGUAGAGGUGAAAUUCGUAGAUAUUGGGAAGAACACCGAUGGCGAAGGCGGCGACCUGGUCCUUGACUGACGCUGAGGCGCGAAAGCGUGGGGAGCAAACAGGAUUAGAUACCCCAGUAGUCCCUGUCUCUUAUAU
rnacentral:rRNA from 1 species